GGAUUAGGCAUGCAAGUCGAACGGGAUUCUCGGGAGUCCUUCGGGACCCCCGGGAUGAGAGUGGCGAACGGGUGAGUAACGCGUGGGCAAUCUGCCCGUGAGUUCGGGAUAGUUCUCCGAAAGGAGGAGGAAUAUCGGAUGUGGUCCCCUGGCGCAUGUCAGGGUGCCUAAAGAUGGGGAUCUUCGGACCUGCCGCUCAUGGAUGAGCCCGCGACCUAUCAGCUUGUUGGUGAGGUAACGGCUCACCAAGGCGAAGACGGGUAGCUGGUCUGAGAGGAUGGUCAGCCACACUGGGACUGAGACACUGCCCAGACUCCUACGGGAGGCUGCAGUCGAGAAUCAUUCGCAAUGCCCGAAAGG
rnacentral:rRNA from 1 species